rnacentral:rRNA from 1 species
UGAAACGCUGGCGGCGUGCUUAACACAUGCAAGUCGAACGGAGUUUUUAAACGGAAGUUUUCGGAUGGAAGUUUAGAAACUUAGUGGCGGACGGGUGAGUAACGCGUGGGUAACCUGCCUCAUACAGGGGGAUAACAGUUAGAAAUGACUGCUAACACCGCAUAAUAUAGCGAAACCGCAUGAUUUUUGCUAUCAAAUAUUUAUAGGUAUGAGAUGGGCCCGCGUCUGAUUAGCUAGUUGGUGGGGUAAAAGCCUACCAAGGCGACGAUCAGUAGCCGGCUUGAGAGAGUGACCGGCCACAUUGGGACUGAGACACGGCCCAAACUCCUACGGGAGGCAGCAGUGGGGAAUAUUGGACAAUGGGGGAAACCCUGAUCCAGCCGACGCCGCGUGAGUGAAGAAGUAUUUCGGUAUGUAAAGCUCUAUCAGCAGGGAAGAUAAUGACAGUACCUGACUAAGAAGCCCCGGCUAACUACGUGCCAGCCGCCGC